GGCUUACCAUGCAGUCGAGCGCCCCGCAGGGGGAGCGGCAGACGGGUGAGUAACGCGUGGGAAUCUACCCAUCACUACGGAACAACUCCGGGAAACUGGAGCUAAUACCGUAUACGUCCUUCGGGAGAAAGAUUUAUCGGUGAUGGAUGAGCCCGCGUUGGAUUAGCUAGUUGGUGGGGUAAUGGCCUACCAAGGCGACGAUCCAUAGCUGGUCUGAGAGGAUGAUCAGCCACACUGGGACUGAGACACGGCCCAGACUCCUACGGGAGGCAGCAGUGGGGAAUAUUGGACAAUGGGCGCAAGCCUGAUCCAGCCAUGCCGCGUGAGUGAUGAAGGCCCUAGGGUUGUAAAGCUCUUUCAACGGUGAAGAUAAUGACGGUAACCGUAAAAGAAGCCCCGGCUAACUUCGUGCCAGCACCCCCGGCCUCGGGGCCGGGGGGCGGGCGGGGGGUAGGGGAGGUCG
rnacentral:rRNA from 1 species